AGGACUAGAGGGGGGAGGCUGGCCGGCCAAGGUGUGGCGUGCCAGGAGAGUCCUACUCCCUCAGGGAGUAGGAUUCCCCCCCCCCCCCAAUCCUAGUUGGAAUAGGAUUCGUGGAGGGGGAAAAGAGAUGGAGGGGGCCGGCCACCUCUCCUAGUCCU
rnacentral:ncRNA from 1 species